UUUAUGGAGAGUUUGAUCCUGGCUCAGGAUGAACGCUGGCGGCGUGCCUAAUACAUGCAAGUCGAGCGAACGGAUGAGAAGCUUGCUUCUCUGAUGUUAGCGGCGGACGGGUGAGUAACACGUGGAUAACCUACCUAUAAGACUGGGAUAACUUCGGGAAACCGGAGCUAAUACCGGAUAAUAUUUUGAACCGCAUGGUUCAAAAGUGAAAGACGGUCUUGCUGUCACUUAUAGAUGGAUCCGCGCUGCAUUAGCUAGUUGGUAAGGUAACGGCUUACCAAGGCAACGAUGCAUAGCCGACCUGAGAGGGUGAUCGGCCACACUGGAACUGAGACACGGUCCAGACUCCUACGGGAGGCAGCAGUAGGGAAUCUUCCGCAAUGGGCGAAAGCCUGACGGAGCAACGCCGCGUGAGUGAUGAAGGUCUUCGGAUCGUAAAACUCUGUUAUUAGGGAAGAACAUAUGUGUAAGUAACUGUGCACAUCUUGACGGUACCUAAUCAGAAAGCCACGGCUAACUACGUGCCAGCAGCCGCGGUAAUACGUAGGUGGCAAGCGUUAUCCGGAAUUAUUGGGCGUAAAGCGCGCGUAGGCGGUUUUUUAAGUCUGAUGUGAAAGCCCACGGCUCAACCGUGGAGGGUCAUUGGAAACUGGAAAACUUGAGUGCAGAAGAGGAAAGUGGAAUUCCAUGUGUAGCGGUGAAAUGCGCAGAGAUAUGGAGGAACACCAGUGGCGAAGGCGACUUUCUGGUCUGUAACUGACGCUGAUGUGCGAAAGCGUGGGGAUCAAACAGGAUUAGAUACCCUGGUAGUCCACGCCGUAAACGAUGAGUGCUAAGUGUUAGGGGGUUUCCGCCCCUUAGUGCUGCAGCUAACGCAUUAAGCACUCCGCCUGGGGAGUACGACCGCAAGGUUGAAACUCAAAGGAAUUGACGGGGACCCGCACAAGCGGUGGAGCAUGUGGUUUAAUUCGAAGCAACGCGAAGAACCUUACCAAAUCUUGACAUCCUU
rnacentral:rRNA from 1 species